GGGAUUGCCUCAGUAACGGCGAGUGAAGCGGCAACAGCUCAAAUUUGAAAUCUGACCCCUUUGGGGCCCGAGUUGUAAUUUGUAGAGGGUGCUUUGGCGUUGGUUCCGGCCUAAGUUCCUUGGAACAGGACGUCACAGAGGGUGAGAAUCCCGUACGUGGCCGGCUUCCUCCGCCGUGUAAAGCCCCUUCGACGAGUCGAGUUGUUUGGGAAUGCAGCUCUAAAUGGGAGGUAAAUUUCUUCUAAAGCUAAAUAUUGGCCAGAGACCGAUAGCGCACAAGUAGAGUGAUCGAAAGAUGAAAAGCACUUUGGAAAGAGAGUCAAAAAGCACGUGAAAUUGUUGAAAGGGAAGCGCUUGCAGCCAGACUUGCCUGUAGUUGCUCAUCCGGGCUCUUGCCCGGUGCACUCUUCUACUGGCAGGCCAGCAUCAGUUUGGGCGGCCGGAUAAAGGCCUUGGGAAUGUAGCUCCCUCCGGGGAGUGUUAUAGCCCGGGGUGUCAUGCGGCCAGCCUGGACUGAGGUCCGCGCAUCUGCUAGGAUGCUGGCGUAAUGGCUGUAAGCGGCCCGUCUUGAAACACGGACCAAGGAGUCUAACAUCUAUGCGAGUGUUUGGGUGUCAAGCCCGGGCGCGUAAUGAAAGUGAACGGAGGUGGGAACCCUUCCAGGGUGCACCAUCGACCGAUCCUGAUGUCUUCGGAUGGAUUUGAGUAAGAGCAUAGCUGUUGGGACCCGAAAGAUGGUGAACUAUGCCUGCAUAGGGUGAAGCCAGAGGAAACUCUGGUGGAGGCUCGCAGCGGUUCUGACGUGCAAAUCGAUCGUCAAAUUUGGGCAUAGGGGCGAAAGACUAAUCGAACUAUCUAGUAGCU
rnacentral:rRNA from 1 species